UCGGCCAAGACCCAUGGAAAUUAAGUACCUUAAAUCUUGUUCCAAAAAUUGUUUUCUUGUAGUAUUCCUACCAAUUCAAGUACCCUCUACAACGUGGUAUAAUUAUUUCGGAAGAUGGUUCAUCCGUUUCAUCGUUUCCGCACUUUGGUUAAGUGAAGAAGAUUGGAGAAAAAGAUUUUGGACGAAACGGGAAGUGAACUUGGAAAGGCGUAAAAAGCAUAAAAGGUACAGACGACAGAUUUGCUGACCCGCCUGCCUAGGACAUCUAUUCUGCUAUUUUGGG